UACGAAGGGGACUAGCGUUGUUCGGAAUCACUGGGCGUAAAGCGCACGUAGGCGGAUUCGUAAGUCAGGGGUGAAAUCCCGGGGCUCAACCUCGGAACUGCCUUUGAUACUGCGGGUCUUGAGUCCGAUAGAGGUGGGUGGAAUUCCUAGUGUAGAGGUGAAAUUCGUAGAUAUCGAGAGGAACACCGGUGGCGAAGGCGGCGAUCUGGACGAUGACUGACGCUGAGACGCGAAAGCGUGGGGAGCAAACAGG
rnacentral:rRNA from 1 species